rnacentral:sRNA from 1 species
UCCUAAUCCCGUGUUAGCGAUUGCAGUGGCAUCCCGCCACUUUUUUGGCGGAUACAACGGAAAGCGCGCCCCUCU